GACGAACGCUGGCGGCGUGCUUAACACAUGCAAGUCGAACGGAAAGGCCCUGCUUUUGUGGGAUGCUCGAGUGGCGAACGGGUGAGUAACACGUGAGUAACCUGCCCUUGACUUUGGGAUAACUUCAGGAAACUGGGGCUAAUACCGGAUAGGAGCUCCUGCUGCAUGGUGGGGGUUGGAAAGAUUCGGCUGUUGGGGAUGGUCUCGCGGCUUAUCAGCUUGUUGGUGGGGUAGUGGCUUACCAAGGCUUUGACGGGUAGCCGGCCUGAGAGGGUGACCGGCCACAUUGGGACUAAGAUACGGCCCAGACUCCUACGGGAGGCAGCAGUGGAGAAUAUUGCACAGUGAGCGGAAGCCUGAUGCAGAAACGCCGCGUGCGGGAUGACGGCCUUCGGGGUGUAAACCGCUUUCGCCUGUGACGAAGCGUGAGUGACGGUAAUGGGUAAAGAAGCACCGGCUAACUACGUG
rnacentral:rRNA from 1 species